GUCGAUGGGAGCGCCUGGAGGCGCGGCGGCCUCCUGCUUGUCGUCGGCAGCAGCGUUAU
rnacentral:sRNA from 12 species